rnacentral:rRNA from 1 species
GUGAGGAAUAUUGGUCAAUGGACGAGAGUCUGAACCAGCCAAGUCGCGUGAAGGAAGACGGUUUUAUGAAUUGUAAACUUCUUUUGCAGGGGAAUAAAGUACGGUACGUGUACCGUUUUGUAUGUACUCUUCGAAUAAGGAUCGGCUAACUCCGUGCCAGCAGCCGCGGUAAUACGGAAGAUCCAAGCGUUAUCCGGAUUUAUUGGGUUUAAAGGGUGCGCAGGCGGGUUGAUAAGUCAGCGGUGAAAGUGUGCAGCUUAACUGUAAAAUUGCAGAUGAAACUGUCGAUCUUGAGUACAAAUGAGGUAAGCGGAAUGUGUUGUGUAGCGGUGAAAUGCAUAGAUAUAACACAGAACACCGAUUGCGAAAGCAGCUUACUGGGAUGCAACUGCCGCUCAUGCACGAAAGCGUGGGGAUCAAACAGGAUUAGAUACCCUUGUAGUCC